UACGUAGGGGGCAAGCGUUGUCCGGAUUUAUUGGGCGUAAAGAGCGUGUAGGCGGCUUUACAGGUCCGUUGUGAAAACUCGAGGCUCAACCUCGAGACGCCGGUGGAAACCGUAAGGCUAGAGUCCGGGAGAGGGAAGCGGAAUUCCGGGUGUAGCGGUGAAAUGCGUAGAUAUCCGGAGGAACACCGGUGGCGAAGGCGGCUUCCUGGACCGACACUGACGCUGAGGCGCGAAAGCUAGGGGAGCAAACGGG
rnacentral:rRNA from 1 species